GAACGAAUCCAUGGAAGCUUUUCCGUUGCUAGUUGCUGGGGAUCCGUUUAAAGCUUUGUCCUUAUCCUGAACUUGCUCAUCAUCUAGAGCAGAACAAAUCCCUACAAGCAGACAGGACAAUUUUAGUUGUAUGAUGAAAGAGUUAAGCACAAUGCGUAAGUGAACAUCUAGGAGAGUCUCGGGACUCAGUUCAUGGAGCUGAGUUCUGAAGAAGAGACAUUAUCAAGGAGUCUGAGAUGGGAAGAGUUCUGCAGACAGAGAAGGGCAAGUUCCGGAUAUAGAGAAGAUAGAGCAUUAAUGAGAUAGGAGAGUACCAUGCCCAACGAGAGAAGCUGGUGAAAUAGAGAACAAUAUAGACCCAAGGCCCGGCCAAGCAAGUGAGGGCUGAUAGCUGUUGAGCUGGUAUUGAGUGCCGCUGGAACGAGACAUCUAGCUGUCUCAAGGCAUUGAAGACAAGCAGAACAAACAGAACGAAUGGUUCUUGGGGGUCAGUUCUCUAGUUCAGGAAUAAUCAGGACCUUGCUGGGCAGCCCACAUCUAGCUUCCAUGAUAAAACCUUAGAGAAAAAGAACAGGAUCAGACUGGAUGUGAUGGGAAAAAGACACUGGUAGUAAGAGACAUCUGGGGCUCUGGUUUCUCUGAAUAAGUGGGGCUGUUCACUAAGAGAGGGAUGGAGGAAGAGCCAUUUGAAAGACAGGAGAACCUAAGUUUACUGGUCAGUUUGGCGUUGUCAUUCUCAUCAUUAUUAUUAUUGAUAGUAGUAGCAUGUGUCUAUGCUUGUGUGUGUAUACUGCAUGUGUGCAUGACUGUGGAUGUAUAGAUGUCAUGGUGCACAUGUGCAAGUCAGAGAACAAUUUGGGUUUUUUGUUGUUGUUGCUCAUUAGUCAAUUUGAACAUGGUUGGUUCAUUGUCAAUUCAUUGGCUAGUUUUAACACCACGUCUCUUGUUAGAAAAGCCACACAGGUUUGCCUUGCUCACAGGCUCAUGUUAAAGAUAAACAGGUUUCAGAUGUAAUGUUUUUGCUAUGCCUUUAUCUGAAGAAACUCACUUUACAGCGCUGCUCUCAAUGAUCAACUGCUUGUGUCUCAUUCAUGGUAAAUAAUUGGGUAGAAAAAAAAAGCAUAAAACUUAUGCAAGGCCUGAGGAUAAAAGAGGUCAAGUUAUGAAGAUCUAAAAGUAUUUUAGGGGCUAAGAAUGCGUCUUAAGGUUGGUAAAUGCAAGUGAAAGCCUAACAGUUAUAAGAAAGCCGUUUAAGGCAUACAAAAGACUGAAGACGCUUCAGAUUUCUUCCCCUUGCUCUGCAACCGUUGUGUUUCGAAAGCUUGGAGUUGUAACAUUGAUCAAUGGGGUUCUGACAAGUUAUUAGUCUAACUCUGGUAAAACUAUGAUCCUCUAUGCUAAAUUGCUAGACAUCCAGUCUUCUGGAGAGAGGAAAGCAACCCCUCUUGUCCCUUCUGCUCCACAGAACGUUUCUGUCUUCCCUGAGCUCACCUUAAAGGGUCCUCAUGCUUUUAACAACAACAACAAAAUUGCUUAGCAAGCCUUUACUAUGACACAUAUAUGGUACCUACUAUCCUUUUCUAUAGGACCAAAGGCACUCUUUAAUUGGCACCUCUGUAGUCAAACACAUACUAUAGAUUAGUUUUUCACUAGCCAAAAUUAAUUACACCUUGGCCACUUAGUUUUAAAAAUGGAUCCUUACUUCCUAUGAAGACAUAAAUAUCAGGAGUAAUGGUUAUGCUGAAAGAACUUUCUUGUUUUUAGCAAAUUUUGGCUUUGCACUUCACAGCAAAUUGCAACCGUAACUCUGGUAAGUUUACCAGAGAUUAAAUUUAAGACCCCCGAGCGCUUCCAUAUUCUAUAAACUCAUUUCUGUUUGUCCAACAUUAUCUUCUCCCAAACGAUUGUCAAUGGUGAGCAUUCAACAAAAGUGGUCCAGGGAGGGAUUGGGUGGGUAGAAGGGACCAACCCAAACCAAAUAACAUUCAGCCGAACAAAACUCACCACCUGGGGCAGCUAAAAUUCUCAUAUACUUAAUUAGACAUAUCACAAAACCACUUAUCCAAAAUAAGCUUUAAGGGGCUGUUUAAGCAACUAAAUUAUUUCCUUAUUCUCUCUCUCUCUCUCUCUCUCUCUUUUUUUUUUUGAGACACCAUCUCCAUCGAUAACUCAGGCUUGCCUUGAACUCCAGGAAUACUCCCGCCUCAGCUUCUGGAGGGCUGAGAUUGGGACAGUAGUCACCCUCGAGUCCCUCUGGAGUUCUUCGGGUUUUUUUGUUUUUUGUUUUUUUCUUUUCUACAUUAGAUAAAGAUUUAUUUAAAGUAGCAAAGAUCCAACGUGUUCAGAGACCUGGGGAAUUUCUGUCCCACAAAGAACAGCUGACAGCUUUUGCUGGGGACAUCCCAGGCUCCAUCAGAAAGCGUACCAGGAAAUAGGUCCCUGCAGGCCGCAUGGGGACCGAGGCGCGGCCAAGCCCCGCCAGCCUCGCACAUGCACUCGAACACGUAGGCGGGAGCCGCGGGCGGUCCUGCGCCCCGCACACAGGCUGGCCGUAGCUGGGCGCUGAGCCCAGGCACGUACCGGGGCGGGGCCAGCCCGACUCGGGCUGCGUUUCCACCCGCAGCAGGUAGCACCGCGCCCGGAGCAGGAGUACUGGGUUGUCCGCGGGCCAGAGACGGUCAGGCUCGCUCUACCGCUCUCAGGCACCUGCCUUUCUCUGCGUUCCGGAAUGCGGCCAAGACCGAAUAAAGGAAAUUACAUAGUAAGCGGAGAUCGGGUGUCUGAGCAGCGCCUUGGAUCAAAUCCACUCAUGACAGGAACUUCUUGCAUCCAUAACCCCUCAGAAUGAAGAUAUGGAAAAAACUGCCUAAUUAUGAAAAUCUUACAUGACAUUUCUAAUAUCUAGGGCCAGCAGGUAAAGGCACCUGCUACCAAACCUGACUAGUACAGGCAAGUGGAGAGAAAGAAUUCAAGAGAUGCAGGCAAGAGGAUCAGAUAAAUGAAGAUUUUGUAUACUGAGACUCAGGACGUUUUGACUCAACCACAUAUCAACCAGUAUUUCUCAAACUGAGGAAUGUUGACUAUUAAAGGACAUUGAGAAAUCAA